rnacentral:rRNA from 1 species
CUUCAAAUCGAAUGCAGCAGCGACGAAGUAACGACGAAGUAAACAAACACAGGGCAUCUUAUGCUUUGUACUAGGAAUGAUGGAAAUGUAAAACCCUUUCAGAGUAACAAAUAGAGGACAAGUCUUGUGGCAGCAGCCGCGGUAAUAACAGCCAGCAAUAGUGUAUAUUAGAGUAGUUGCAGUUAAAAAGCUCGUAGUUGGAUGUAUGUCGUGGUCGCCUGGUUCCGCCUGUAUGGGUGUGCGCCUGGGUUGACUUCGGCUUUCUCCUGGUCUGUGGCCCGCGCUUGAUUGCGUGUGCGUGCUUUCUCCGGGACUUUUACUUUGAGAAAAAUAGAGUGUUUCAAGCAGGCUAGUCGCCCUGAAUACUUCAGCAUGGAAUAAUAAGAUAGGACCUUGGUUCUAUUUUGUUGGUUUCUAGGACCUGGGUAAUGAUUAAUAGGGACAGUUGGGGGCAUUCGUAUUUAACUGUCAGAGGUGAAAUUCUUAGAUUUGUGAAAGACGAACUACUGCGAAAGCAUUUGCCAAGGAUGUUUUCAUUAAUCAAGAACGACAGUAGGGGGUUGAAGACGAUUAG